rnacentral:rRNA from 1 species
CAACGGGUGGAGCUUGCGGUUUAAUUGGAUUCAACGCCGGAAAUCUUACCGGGACCGACAGCAAUAUGAAGGCCAGGCUGAAGACUUUGCCGGAUUAGCUGAGAGGUGGUGCAUGGCCGUCGUCCAGUUCGUACUGUGAAGCAUCCUGUUAAGUCAGGCAACGAGCGAGACCCACGCCCACAGUUGCCAGCGUACUCUCUGGAGUGACGGGUACACUGUGGGACCGCCGCUGCUAAAGCGGAGGAAGGAAUGGGCAACGGUAGGUCAGUAUGCCCCGAAUAUCCCGGGCUACACGCGAGCUACAAUGGUUGGUACAAUGGGUAUCUACCCCGAAAGGGGACGGGAAUCUCCUAAAACCAAUCUUAGUUCGGAUUGAGGGCUGCAACUCGCCCUCAUGAAGCUGGAAUCCGUAGUAAUCGCGUUUCAACAGAACGCGGUGAAUACGUCCUGCUCCUU